rnacentral:rRNA from 1 species
UAUGCACUAUUUCUCUUCAGUACGAAAGGGACCAUGAGAAUGGGACCUAUAUUCAUAACAAGUCCUCACUCAUCCGAAACAAUAUUAAAUCUACAGUAUUUCCCCCCCCCCCAAAACAGGGC